UCAUGGGAGGGUGAGAGCAUCUCAGGUUAUUACUUCCUCAAAUGGGUAUCUUUUUUUUUUUUUUUUUUUGCAGUACUAAGGAUGGAACUCAGGACCUUGCACUUGCCAGGCAGGCGCCAGAACCAUUAAGCCACAUCCCUGGCCUCAAAUGGGUAUCUUUAAAACAGUGCAUCAGGAAUACACAAACCUCAAGAUAUAAGAAUGACAUAUUCUCCCAGUAACUUAAAUAUGCUCUGUGAUUUCACUGAAAUGGCAGAAGGAAUGAAACAAUGUAAGUCCUCAAGGAUGAAAAAUACCAGGGAGAACAGGCCUGCAGGCACUGGUAUGUGGAAACCCCAUACAGAGUGGCUGGGUUGUCAGAUGAUCCCUUGCUGUAAAGGCUGUCAGCCAACAAGCCCUAUCUAGGCAAACAGCUUUUGGAUUUCACUUUACAUAGGAAACCAA
rnacentral:lncRNA from 1 species